rnacentral:lncRNA from 1 species
AUGUGACCACAGCCAAAGGCCACGUCUUACCGGUUAGUCAGACAAAUUGAGCAAUUAUGUUUCAACGAAAAACAAUAUCAGAUGAGAUUUGAUUGCGACAAGGCAGUAAUAGAGUGAAAGAGUAAGCAAGUUUUAGGACCUGAGUAUGUUCGUCUGGUGCAGGUGAUGGUAGUUCAGUACGUAUAGUAGGUGUGUAAGGAGUAGGUGGUGGCCUCAGGUUUAUUUUCUUAGCUACGCCCGUUGUUUUCCUUUACAGAUAAGAUAAGAACAGCAUAAGUAGUUUAAGACAGAAAAAACGGAAAGACAGUAUUUAUGUUCUGUCUCUUGGAG